CUCAGGUCCGGAAGCUACGUCCCCGGGAGACGAGGGCCCCGCAUCUGAUUCUUGCGCCUGGCUAUCCUCGCAGCGGAGCAAACAGAUGAGCCACGACACAGCCGUGUGGAGCACGUCAGACCCUUCCCUCCGAAAGUCACCAGCAAGGACAGAGGAGAAAGGACUCUGCACACCCACAGAGUGAAAGAGCAACCUUCCCUGCAGACAUAAUCUUUGGCAGCCCAUAAUAUCAGCACUUCCUGCGUUGUGACAGAAGACACCCGGCAGCUCCUCCCAGGAGCUGACCGGGCAGGGCCUGGAGCUUGCUCGCCUCUGGAGCCCUCGUCCACAUCACCCACCGUGUUGUUUGUCACCCGCAUGGAGACCCUGGGCCCUGCGAUCAAGGCACAGCCUGGGUCCAGCCACCACCCUGAGGGCCCCCCCGCCUCAUCCUGGGGUCGCCACCAUGCUGCCGAGGCCCAGAAUGCUUCCGCUGGGGAGUCCUGGGGCACCAGGAGAGACACCGAGGGAGACCAUUGUCAGCACAUCCCGAGUCUGGGAUAUGAGACACAAAGGAACUAACUCACACAGGAAAGUGGAUCUCUAUUAUUUUCUCUUCCAUUUCUUUCACCACCACCCCCCAAUCUGAUGUCGGAUGCUACUGAAACCCAUGUCAGAGUCUAGGAUUUUCAUACAACUGAGAAAAAAAAAUAAGAGUGUUUACCAAAACAUUUACAGCUGUGUGGUAUCAAAAGAGGCCCCGGCUGCCGGAGCGGGGGACUUGGCCCUUUGAUGUGCCAACCGCCGCAAGGAGGACCGGUCCCUAAUGAGGGGCGCAGGGGUGUUGGACAAACACAUCACAAUGACAGGCUGGGAGGGGGCGCGGGGCAGAACCCCCCUUCCUCCUCCCGAUGCAGAGACCCGCCUGCUCCUUCAGCUGUCAUCCAAAGUGCUUUUUUCUUUCUUUUUCUUAUCAGUUUCAUAUUCACAGAAUGAAAUUCCAGACAGGAGGCAAAAUCGAUGCUUCCGAUACGUUGUAGUCCUUAGCUCUAGGAAGGCUGGGAAGAUAACUCUGGGUCCGUAGGAAAGCAUUCAGAGCUGAGCACACCGGCAUCACUGCCGCCCUGCCUACAGCACGGCAAACAGGAGACGCAGGUGGGACAGGAAGAGCUUGGGGUUUUCGGGCCUUAACCCUAUCCAUGUGGAAACUCGAGGUCACAGACCCCUAAGCACUGGGUAUUAUCAACAUAAAAAGUGGAACCCACGGUGAAAAGCUGCUCCUUGUAGUCAGGUGCGGAAGCAGUAGUCCCAGCACUUGGGAGGCGGAG